rnacentral:rRNA from 1 species
UAGGGAAUCUUCCGCAAUGGACGCAAGUCUGACGGAGCAACGCCGCGUGAGUGAAGAAGGAUUUCGGUUCGUAAAACUCUGUUGUUAGAGAAGAACAGCGCAUAGAGUAACUGUUAUGCGUGUGACGGUAUCUAACCAGAAAGCCACGGCUAACUACGUGCCAGCAGCCGCGGUAAUACGUAGGUGGCAAGCGUUGUCCGGAUUUAUUGGGCGUAAAGCGAGCGCAGGCGGUCAAUUAAGUCUGAUGUGAAAGCCCCCGGCUCAUCCGGGGAGGGUCAUUGGAAACUGGUUGACUUGAGUGCAGAAGAGGAGAGUGGAAUUCCAUGUGUAGCGGUGAAAUGCGUAGAUAUAUGGAGGAACACCAGUGGCGAAGGCGACUCUCUGGUCUGUAACUGACGCUGAGGCUCGAAAGCGUGGGUAGCAAACAGG